UACGUAGGGGGCAAGCGUUGUCCGGAAUCAUUGGGCGUAAAGAGCGUGUAGGCGGCCCGGUAAGUCCGCUGUGAAAGUCCAGGGCUCAACCCUGGGAUGCCGGUGGAUACUGUCGGGCUCGAGUCCGGAAGAGGAGUGUGGAAUUCCGUGGUGUAGCGGUGAAAUGCGCAGAUAUCGAGGAGGAACACCGGUGGCGAAGGCGGGUCUCUGGGCCGAUACUGACGCUGAGGAGCGAAAGCGUGGGGAGCGAACAGGA
rnacentral:rRNA from 1 species